rnacentral:rRNA from 1 species
AGCGAACGCUGGCGGCAGGCCUAACACAUGCAAGUCGAGCGCCCAGCAAUGGGAGCGGCAGACGGGAUAGUAACACGUGGGAACGUACCUUUCAGUUCGGAACAACCCAGGGAAACUUGGGCUAAUACCGAAUACGUCCGUAAGGAGAAAGAUUUAUCGCUGAAAGAUCGGCCCGCGUCUGAUUAGCUAGUUGGUGAGGUAAUGGCUCACCAAGGCGACGAUCAGUAGCUGGUCNGAGAGGAUGAUCAGCAUCACUGGGACUGAGACACGGCCCAGACUCCUACGGGAGGCAGCAGUGGGGAAUAUUGGACAAUGGCGCAAGCCUGAUCCAGCCAUGCCGCGUGGAUGAUGAAGGCCUUAGGGUUGUAAAGUCCUUUCGGCGGGGAAGAUAAUGACGGUACCCGCAGAAGAAGCCCCGGCUAACUUCGUGCCAGCAGCCG